CUCACUUUCUCUACAUUUAAGGCUGCAUUCACCAGUGCUAAAAAAUCUCUGAUUUGAAGAGCAACUAGAAGCAUCUUGAUCUCAGUGUUUAACCCCUUGCUCAAAUCUUUUACAUUUUGCCUCAUCUGUAGGAAUAAUCUCCCUGGCAUAUCUGCUCAAUCUAAUAAACUCCCUUUCAUAUUCAGCUACUGUCAUACGUCCCUGCCUCAAAUAGAUAAACUCCUUUUUUCUCUCCUCCAUAUAUAUGUCUCCUACAUAUCUCUUUCUAAACUCAUUCAAGAAAAACUCCUAUGUCCUCUGUGUUGGUUGCACUGUCUAUGCCAC
rnacentral:lncRNA from 1 species